GGUGUGCAAUUUAAUACUUGACAUAUUUUGUCAUGUGCUGUUAUGCAAUAUACAUCUGGCCUUAAGACCAUAAACUAAAACUAGACUUUAAUUCAAAAUUUGAUUACCGGUAUACAUGUAAAAUAUUUAAAGUUUUGAAAUACUUAUAACAUUUAAAUGAGAUUGAGUUACAUUAUUGGUUUAUGCGGCUGUGUGUUUUAAAAAAUGUGUCGCAAAAUUUUUUCUUCUUCACUUUUUAUGGUCUUGCAGUUAGAUUACAGAGUUUAACUGUUACAUGUAUUGUGUGUAAAAGUGUGUUAAAACUUAUAGAUUGAUGUAACCAAUGCAUGUACACCCAGUAUUUAGAGUACAGUAUUUAUAAUCUGACUUGGACAAUACAAGUUUAAAUAAAGCUUAAAUGGGCAAAAAAAUACCAAACAUAUCCUUUCUAUCUACCAGAAAAAUGAAAAAUACCACACAAAACUUGAUCUUAAUUCCUUUUUAAUGGGACGAUAACUUGACUUCAAUAUUCGCAUAGUUUCCAUGUCUUAAUGAAAGUGAUCAAAUCGGUUUCAAAUGGAUGUGUCUGAACAAGUUUGUUUGCUGUAACUUAAUGUCCCAAUACAUACCGGUAUACAUGAAACGCAUUGUGGUUGGAAAAUUCUCAUUGUACCGGUACAUGUAUUAGUGUUCUACUUGUAUAAAAGAGCAUGGCGACCUCUACAAUGACAUGUAACAUGGUUCAAUAACUGUGAAUUUUAUAUGUUUACAAGUAAUAAACAAAUGUUCAAU
rnacentral:misc_RNA from 1 species